UUCGUAGGUGGCUUGCUAAGUCAGACGUGAAAUCCCUCAGCUCAACUGGGGAACUGCGUCUGAGACUGGCGAGCUCGAGUGCAGGAGAGGGAUGCGGAAUUCCAGGUGUAGCGGUGAAAUGCGUAGAUAUCUGGAGGAACACCGGUGGCGAAGGCGGCGUCCUGGACUGCAACUGACACUGAGGAACGAAAGCCAGGGGAGCAAACG
rnacentral:rRNA from 1 species